ACCCUUGUGUCUUAAUGGCCAUGCGUUCCGUUGAUAGCGGAGCCGAGACGUUCAGGACGCGGGGGCAGUACCCGCCGCCUCCACCACGAGCGCACGGUCGGGCGAUCAGCAAAGAGCCCGGGUCGAUUGGACAGGCAAGGGCGCCUGAAGGCGUCGAGGGCCCGGACCGUGCGUUCUUGAUGGGGGCGAACUAGGAUCGACUGGCGUGUAGGCGAAGAAGUAGGACCGCGGGAUGGCCGCCUGAUAGGCCGAAACCACUAGGUGCCAACGACAACGAAGCACCCUGCGAAGUCACCGCCCUCGCGGCGUGAUUGAACGGAGCCCGGGGGCGGCUCGGCAACAGGACGCCCCCACC
rnacentral:tmRNA from 1 species